CCAGCGAGCUUUGGCGAGGCCUCUUCUUUUCUAAGCGAAAAGAGGGGGAGGAAAGUCCAGACAGCGUUGGAAGCAGGGUGUCUCCCGCAAGGGAGAGGUCGCCUUAGGCGACACAGAUAGGACCACAGAGACUACAACUCACCCCGACGUUAGUCGGGCGCAGAGGGUGAAAAGGGCAACCCUCCCCGCUGCAACUUUGAAUACCGCUCGUUUGACCAGCUUCCCGGAAGAGCGGUGGUAAAGGCAUUAGAUAGAUCUCGCCUACAUCCGCCUUUGGCGGAUUAAUACAAAAUCUGGCUUAUAGCUUGCUGGACAA
rnacentral:RNase_P_RNA from 2 species